CUUACCAUGCAGUCGAACGAUGAAGCCCAGCUUGCUGGGUGGAUUAGUGGCGAACGGGUGAGUAACACGUGAGUAACCUGCCCUUAACUCUGGGAUAAGCCUGGGAAACUGGGUCUAAUACCGGAUAGGAGCGUCCACCGCAUGGUGGGUGUUGGAAAGAUUUAUCGGUUUUGGAUGGACUCGCGGCCUAUCAGCUUGUUGGUGAGGUAAUGGCUCACCAAGGCGACGACGGGUAGCCGGCCUGAGAGGGUGACCGGCCACACUGGGACUGAGACACGGCCCAGACUCCUACGGGAGGCAGCAGUGGGGAAUAUUGCACAAUGGGCGAAAGCCUGAUGCAGCGACGCCGCGUGAGGGAUGACGGCCUUCGGGUUGUAAACCUCUUUCAGUAGGGAAGAAGCGAAAGUGACGGUACCUGCAGAAGAAGCACCGGCUAACUACGUGCCAGCAGCCGCGGUAAUACGUAGGGUGCGAGCGUUAUCCGGAAUUAUUGGGCGUAAAGAGCUCGUAGGCGGUUUGUCGCGUCUGUCGUGAAAGUCCGGGGCUUAACCCCGGAUCUGCGGUGGGUACGGGCAGACUAGAGUGCAGUAGGGGAGACUGGAAUUCCUGGUGUAGCGGUGGAAUGCGCAGAUAUCAGGAGGAACACCGAUGGCGAAGGCAGGUCUCUGGGCUGUAACUGACGCUGAGGAGCGAAAGCAUGGGGAGCGAACAGGAUUAGAUACCCUGGUAGUCCAUGCCGUAAACGUUGGGCACUAGGUGUGGGGACCAUUCCACGGUUUCCGCGCCGCAGCUAACGCAUUAAGUGCCCCGCCUGGGGAGUACGGCCGCAAGGCUAAAACUCAAAGGAAUUGACGGGGGCCCGCACAAGCGGCGGAGCAUGCGGAUUAAUUCGAUGCAACGCGUAAGAACCUUACCAAGGCUUGACAUGUUCUCGAUCGCCGUAGAGAUACGGUUUCCCCUUUGGGGGCGGGUUCACAUGGUGGUGCAUGGUUUGUCGUCAAGCYCKUGUCKUGAGAAUGUUGGGUUUAAGUCCCGCAACGAGCGCAACCCUCGUUCCAUGUUGCCAGCACGUAAUGGUGGGGACUCAUGGGAGACUGCCGGGGUCAACUCGGAGGAAGGUGAGGACGACGUCAAAUCAUCAUGCCCCUUAUGUCUUGGGCUUCACGCAUGCUACAAUGGCCGGUACAAUGGGUUGCGAUACUGUGAGGUGGAGCUAAUCCCAAAAAGCCGGUCUCAGUUCGGAUUGGGGUCUGCAACUCGACCCCAUGAAGUCGGAGUCGCUAGUAAUCGCAGAUCAGCAACGCUGCGGUGAAUACGUUCCCGGGCCUUGUACACACCGCCCGUCAAGUCACGAAAGUCGGUAACACCCGAAGCCGGUGGCCUAACCCUUGUGGGGGAGCCGUCGAAAGUGACCCGAG
rnacentral:rRNA from 1 species